rnacentral:rRNA from 1 species
GAUGAACGCUGGCGGCGUGCCUAAUACAUGCAAGUCGAGCGAACAGACGAGGAGCUUGCUCCUCUGAUGUUAGCGGCGGACGGGUGAGUAACACGUGGAUAACCUACCUAUAAGACUGGGAUAACUUCGGGAAACCGGAGCUAAUACCGGAUAACAUGUUGAACCGCAUGGUUCAACAGUGAAAGACGGUCUUGCUGUCACUUAUAGAUGGAUCCGCGCCGCAUUAGCUAGUUGGUAAGGUAACGGCUUACCAAGGCAACGAUGCGUAGCCGACCUGAGAGGGUGAUCGGCCACACUGGAACUGAGACACGGUCCAGACUCCUACGGGAGGCAGCAGUAGGGAAUCUUCCGCAAUGGGCGAAAGCCUGACGGAGCAACGCCGCGUGAGUGAAGAAGGUCUUCGGAUCGUAAAACUCUGUUAUUAGGGAAGAACAAAUGUGUAAGUAACUAUGCACGUCUUGACGGUACCUAAUCAGAAAGCCACGGCUAACUACGUGCCAGCCGCCGCCGUAA